CAACAAAAUACAGUGAGAAGUGUUGCAUAGUGUUGCACCAUUCUCCAGUGCCAUCUUAAAAUAUAGAAAAAUAAACCAGAAUAUAGUCGGAAAGCGAAAAAAUAAAGAAAAAUGUUCAAUUUUAUUGUCCUCCUUGCCAAAUGCUCUGCCUGGGCCUGGUGGCCAGACACAAGUCCCCUUCAUCACGUCGCUGCCACUGGAACAAAAGUCUGCCACUUUUCAGUAGCAACUGUCCUCCAACAACGACUUCACCAUUGAAUCCUUUUCCGGCCUUGCCAAUGCAGAUGGCACCAGAUACCAUACCAAACUUGACUCUGUUGCUGCUGUAAAUCCAUUUCAUGCCCACUUUGUUGAUGCAGUCGUUGCUGAUGCCACCAGGUUUUGUACUCGACCCAAACUUGCCUCCGCCACCUCCAUGAAUCCCAGCUUGAUGCAGGUAUCGCUGGGAGCCCAGACUCAUUUCCAUCUCGGCAGCAAUGAGUCAGCGGUAGGCACACCUCAUCAGAAACUGCCAGGAUCCCAAACUAUCCUCCGCUGCCUCCACAAAUCUGCACUGCUCUGCCUAUUUGCCGAUGCCAAUGGAUGCCUUUGCUGCAUUGAUGCUGAGAGAAUGUUUCUUGAUGGAGAUUCCUUUCACUGUGAAGAAGGAGUCCUUCAUGUUGCAGAGCCAAGGCCAGGGCCAGAUCCUGAUCACACCAAACUGGCAGACACUCACUCCCAUUAACAGUGAGAUCACAUCAGAGGUUCCCCCCACUCUCCCGCGUUCUCUCCCGAUCUCUCUCUCUCUCUUCCUGUCUUGCUCAGCUCCUGCUAAAGUGUCCUGGACUACUUGAAGCAUAGCCCAGAAAUUGAAUCUCAGAUUAUUAUCCUGUAUGGGGAUUAUUGUUGCUUUUGGUAGUUAUUUUGAAUAGCCUUGGAUCUCUCAGGAGUUAGCUAUUUUGAUGAAAGGUACAGUGUUAAUUUAAUAUCAAUGUAUUCAGUUGGGAUGUUGAGGAAUAUAUGUUACAUUUUACACUUAUGUAUGACACAUUUUAUGCAUUUCCCUGAAAUUAGAAGAGCACUUCUUUCCUCAAAUAUGGUGGUCUUUGCACUUACAAGUGUGAUUCUUUUUAUUAACAAUAAAGCUGAUGAGCAGAAUGUUGUCAGAAGUUGCUUGGAUGCAAAUUCAAAAUUUUGUGUUGCUCAUUUGGUUAGUUUUUGACAAUGAUAUUUGUAAGUUUUACAGGGUUGCUUAUGAAGCAGGAAGUGUAGUAAAUUCAAAACUAUUAUUACAGAUGUUGCUGUAUUUUUAAGAGAUGCUACCAAUUAUCAUGGUUCAUCAAUUAUUUUUCUGUGGCAGUUGAUCGGAGAAAUGAAGGCAGCGAUAUAAUGAUCAGUGUCUCUAGUCUAAAAGAAGCUGAAGUCAGUCUCUGGAAUGCCCAACGGGAAGAGAUGAACACUACAUAAUGAAUGGUAAUAGAGAAGACACUAAGUAAAAGAAGAGGCCAUUAGGUUUUACAGAGUUUCACUGAUGUCCACUCAUAAGAACAUGGUCACCAUUUUUGUAUUAAAAAUAGAAGUAUUACAGGUUUUGCAAGAAGUUCAAUGGAAAAUGAGUUAAAUAGGUGCUUGACUUCUGUAGUUAUAAUUGAGGGUGUAAAUAAUUACCAUUCAGAAGUUGGAAGUAUUUCACUUUCUACAAGUAAAAGAUCGAAUGUUCCAUAAAUGUGACAAAUUGCCUUUAUCUAUUAGCAUUGUGUACUGACAUUAGAUUAGAUUCCCUACAGUGUGGAAACAGGCCUUUCGGCCCAACAAGUCCACACCGACCCUCCGAAGAGUAACCCACCCCCUUAUGACUAAUGCUCCUGACAACUAUGGUCAAUUUACCAUGGCCAAUUCACCUGACCUGCACAUCUUUGUGACUGUGGGAGGAAACCGGAGCACCCGGAGGAAACCCAUGCAGACACUGGGAGAAUGUGCAAAUUCCAUGCAGACAGUCGUCCGAGGCUGGACUCGAACCUGGGACCCUGGCACUGUGAGGCAGCAGUGCUAGCCACUGUGACACCCCCAUUAUUCAUUUGUCCAUUUUAGAAUUUUCAUGUUGAUGACUUGUAUUUUUCAGCUGUAUUGUGCAAAUUUUAAAUCAGUUGCCAAAAUUGAAGAGAACAGUUAACAAGUUGCCAAAAAUAGCCUAAAUUUAAGAUCUCUAGAACUUGGUAUUGCAUAGAAAUUUGAUCAUUUCAUAGGAUUUUGAUCUUUUCUGUUCCUUUUUUUAACUGUUUGCAGUUCUAUAGAUCAAGCAAACAGGACAGUUAAUUAGAAGAUGUGUUUUCUUUUGGAAGGAAUUUUAGAAGGCAGUUGAGUCAUUUUCUUUCAAAUGAAAACAUGGCAGUCAGAUGGAUUUCUACCCAUUUGCAGCACCACUGAGGGAGAACCUAUCCACACGUGACCCAAAUUGCCAUGAUGUCAGUUGAAAUACCUUCUUCCAUAAAGAGAUCUUGAUUGAUUUUAAAGCUUGGAAAAAUUAAUUUGAGAGAAAGUAUCACCUGUGACCCUUUCUUAGUUGUAUAAACAUCAUAUAGAGAAAAGUAUGUUAAUAUGUGAAGUUGUAUAAAAAUUGACUUGACUGUUGUAAAGUUAUGACUGCUUAAAAAAUCUUUUGUAUAUUAUAGUUAUCUUGGAUGUCAUCAAGUUGUACAUAUUUUAGCGCAACUUUACGAAGUAAUCUGCCUAUUGGCCAUAAUGGUCUGAAAAUGUCUGAUCUCAGAACCUUGCAUUCUGAAGGCUUGUGUGGCACAGUGUUAGUGUCCUAACCACUUGGUCAAGUGGCCUUUGUUCAAGUCCACCUACCCCAGUGAUAUGUCAUUUUAUAUCAGAACAGAUAGAUUAAAAAUACACACAGAAAUCAUCUGUAUCAUUUAAUAGUCAUCUAUAUCACUUGUUUCAAAACAAAGCUUGAACAGUUUGACUUUUCUGAGUUUGAUCAUCUGUUUGUAAAAGAAGAAAGAUCUGUACAAGAUUUGCUAAUUCCUAGAUAUUUUGACAAUUGGUGUAAUUAUAAGAUUAAAAUAUUGAAGAUAUUCAACUUUGACCAUCCAAUGGUAUGCAAUGGUAGCCACUUUUGAAAAUAAGUUAUCUGUUGCUGUCCAAAUGUAAAACUUAAUAGCAUGUUUUCAAAGUUGACAGUUUCAAGAAAAAAAAUGAGUAAAUUCAAUUUUGGAUUGUCAGUUGGUCAAGGAUAGAACAUUGGAGCCUACUAAUCACUUAAAAUGUUAUUAUUUAUAAUGACACACAUUGCACUUUCAAUAAAAUAAAAUACUUUAUUUCU